rnacentral:tRNA from 1 species
GAUGGAGUUACAGCUCAGUCGGUGAGAGCCGUGGACUCGGAAUCGGUGGUCGCGGGUUCGAGCCCACCGCCUCCAUCG